GAUUAUCGGACUUUUAAAUGUUGCAAAUCAGAUUUACAGGAACCCUUAUCAAAUGAAGAAACCAUCCCAGAGUUCAUGCCCAGAGGAGACUUAGAUUACAUAGAGCCCUCAGUAACCUGAGCAGUGAACCUCCAUUACGUCCGCAGAAAUUGACUCCGCAAGAAACUGGGAAGACCUCUGAGUGUGUGUGAAAGGCACAGGCACGACAGUGAACCACUCAAUGCCAAAUGUCACUGGGGUCUCAUAUGGCCCAGAUCUGGCCACAGAGCCAUAUGUCAAUAGGCUCAAAGGCACAGACGAGGAGAGAGAACCACAGGGUAACUGGGCCUCGACACAAGACGGACACCGGGCAUAGAGGGCUCCCCAGGAGUACGGGGGGAGGGGGAAGGGAAGGGGGGCCCACCCCAGCCCUGCACCUUCCCGUCCUCGCCCUCCCUUCCUCCGGGCCUUACACGGUG